rnacentral:rRNA from 1 species
GAUGAACGCUAGCAGAACGCCUAACACAUGCAAGUCGAACGAUAUUCUACCUUCGGGUAGUUGACAGUGGCAAACGGGCGAGUAACGCGUACCUAAUCUACCCCAGAGCGGGGCAUAACUAUGGAGACAUAGCUAAUUCCCCAUACGCUCUACAAAAUGAAAAUAUGUAGAGGAAAGAUUUAUCACUCAGGGAGGAGGGUGCGUCCUAUCAGGUUGUUGGUGAGGUAACGGCUCACCAAGCCUAUGACGGGUAACCGGUUUGAGAGGAUGUCCGGUCGCAAUGGAACUGAGACACGGUCCAUACUCCUACGGGAGGCAGCAGUGGGGAAUCUUGCACAAUGGGCGAAAGCCUGAUGCAGCGAUUCUGCGUGGAGGAUGAAGCCUUGCGGGGUGUAAACUCCUUUUCUGGAGGAAGACGAAUGACGGUACUCCAGGAAUAAGGGACGGCUAACUUCG